GAGUGGACUGUAACUCAAAGAGAAAGAGAGGGAGGAAAUGGAAGAAGAAGAGAGAGGGGCUCAGUGCCAGCCAAUCAGGGGGAAGAGAAAAGGGGGCCGGCGGUCGUAGUCCGGCAUGAACAGAGAGAGGGGGAGGGGCUCAUCGCAUCGAAAGAUGUCCUCCCCAACUAUGGAUGAGAGAGAAAAGGAGAAUCAGGGGAAGAGCAGGGUAAGAGAGGGAGAGAGGGGAC
rnacentral:lncRNA from 1 species